rfam:Aspergillus flavus NRRL3357 scf_1106286417496 genomic scaffold, whole genome shotgun sequence.
GGGCCUCUGGCGCAACGGUAGCGCGUUCGACUCCAGAUCGAAAGGUUAUCCGUUCAAAUCGGGUGGGGCUCA